UUGCAGGGUGAGUUUAGACAUAUUUUCUCAGGACAGAUUAUAGCUAUGAAACAUAGCUAGUUUUCCUCCUCCCUCUUCUCUCUUCCCUUCUCCCUCUUUCUUUCUCAUCUUCCUAUUCCUCCUUCUCCUCUUCUCCAUCUCUUCUUCCUCUUCCUUCUAAAAGAGCUUUUGUCUCAUCUUCAAGCCAAACUUUACCAACACACACUGUGACAGACUCCAGCAUGGCCUGGUUUGAUGUCCUUGUGGCUACCUUUUCUAAGAGGCCAACUAAAGUGAAGAUCUGGAUAGUACACCAACCCUCACAGCUGAACAGAUAAAAGCUGCCUGCAAUGGUUGAGGAGGAUCUUAUCUGUGCGCUAGAAGAAACUACAGCCUCAACAUGUAAUGAUUUAUUUGGCUGUUAUGAUCCAUAUUCAUCUUUACAAAUCUGUAUGAAGCACUUACAAUGUGCCCUGUGUGCACCACGUUCUGAAGACAAUGGAGACCAUGACACAGUGAAAGAAUUCUA